rnacentral:rRNA from 1 species
GACGAACGCUGGCGGCGUGCUUAACACAUGCAAGUCGAACGGUGAAAGCGGAGCUUGCUCCGCCGGAUCAGUGGCGAACGGGUGAGUAACACGUGGGCAACCUGCCCCUGACUUCGGAAUAACUCCUUGAACGAGGUGCUAAUACAGGAUACGAAUCCCGCAGGCAUCUGCGGGAUUGGAAAGAUUUUCGGUUAGGGAUGGGCCCGCGGCCUACUCGCUUGUUGGUGAGGUAGUGGCUCACCAAGGCGACGACGGGUAGCCGGCCUGAGAGGGCGACCGGCCACACUGGGACUGGGACACGGCCCAGACUCCUACGGGAGGCAGCAGUGGGGAAUAUUGCGCAAUGGGCCAAAGCCUGACGCAGCAACGCCGCGUGAGGGGUGACGGCCUUCGGGUUGUAAACCUCUUCAGCAGGGAAGAAGCGAAAGUGACGGUACCUGCAGAAAAAGCACCGGCUAACUACGUGCCAGCAGCCGCCGUAA